CGGACGGGUGAGUAACACGUGGAUAACCUACCUAUAAGACUGGGAUAACUUCGGGAAACCGGAGCUAAUACCGGAUAAUAUAUUGAACCGCAUGGUUCAAUAGUGAAAGACGGUUUUGCUGUCACUUAUAGAUGGAUCCGCGCCGCAUCAGCUAGUUGGUAAGGUAACGGCUUACCAAGGCGACGAUGCGUAGCCGACCUGAGAGGGUGAUCGGCCACACUGGAACUGAGACACGGUCCAG
rnacentral:rRNA from 1 species